AAACUGGUGAUUUUGGAGGAAAUGGUCUAUGGACACCAUGCAAGGACUUCUGUACCCUUAACAGAUAAAACCUCCCUGAAGGGAUAAGGCUGUAGAGGAGGAUAGUUGAGCUUCACUGGAGUCUGGGGUGUGGGUUUUGCAGAAAUAGGAAAUGUCCUCAGGUUUUAUUCAGUGAGCUGAUGGGGGGACAGGAGGAGAUGCAGCUGGUUCAGUCUGAUGCAGGGUCAUGGCCUGCAGCUUUGCAGCUUGGCUGUGCAGUGGGGAGGUGAAUGUUUGCUUUGGCAUUUAUUAGUUUGGGGAGUAGUGUCUAGAGCCUCUGUCAAGAACUGAGUCGUCUUUGUAUCAAGUGUUCCCCAGUGUGUAUAAAAAAUG